rnacentral:rRNA from 1 species
UACAGAGGUCUCAAGCGUUGUUCGGAUUCAUUGGGCGUAAAGGGUGCGUAGGCGGCGCGGUAAGUCGGGUGUGAAAUCUCGGGGCUUAACUCCGAAACUGCAUUCGAUACUACCGUGCUUGAGGACUGGAGAGGAGACUGGAAUUUACGGUGUAGCGGUGAAAUGCGUAGAUAUCGUAAGGAACACCGGUGGCGAAGGCGGGUCUCUGGGCCGAUACUGACGCUGAGGAGCGAAAGCGUGGGGAGCGAACAGG